CCCCCAUGAAAGCUGCUCUUUGUCUUUAGUGGCCGAGACUCAGGCCAGUAUAGAAACCAACAGGGAACCCUGAGAGGACGGGAGAGAGGACACUAGAGUCACGAUUCAACAGUGGCAGCUUACACAGGAGGAAGAAAAGAUCCUGGGACCUGGUUAUCUAAACUCCGUAAAAUGAGCUACGAGUCCUCAGUGUCCUCAAAUGGACAGAUUUAAAAGAUCUCAAACUUACACAUUCUUCAACUUUGGCUCAGUUUUGUUUGUUUUUAAAUAAUUUUACCUAGAAGCACCAUAAGGAGAAGCUUAUUCCUCUUUCUCAGUGGUAAAGCAAGCUAUUAAAGUGAU